UCAUCAGCUUCCCCAUCAACACAUGCCCCACCACCUGCAGCAAGACCCAGAGGCGCUGGAGCCUGAGCCAGAGCCAGAGCCAGAGCCGCAGCAGCUCCGCCAUGGUGGAAACGGGCUGCAGCCUGAGCAGGAGUUCAGAGUGGUCCUCAGAGGGAUGGGGUGACCCAGCAACACUCCACAGGGUGUAUGGCCCAGAUUCGCCCUGAGCCAAAAAAGCCAGCUUGAUUUAGGCUGAACUAAAAGAGAUAUAGAUGGUGUCCCAUAUUAGGGAGUCCAAAGAUCAUUUCCUGUUGAGUUCACCUUGUUGGACCCAGAUACCAAGCAGCUAUUGGCACAGAAGGAACUGGGAGAAGUGAUUGCUGAGUACUUUGAAAGAACGUGAAGGACAGGAGAGGAAUCAACCAGACUCAACAAGUGCAAAUUUUGUUCAGUUUUGUUUUGUUCUCUUAAGUAAAAAAAUGAGAUUCUGAAAAGUAGAGGUCACUGAGCUUAAAUUCUAUUCCUGUCAAAAAUUAAAAACCCUUACCUUCUGUCUUGGAAUCAAUACUCGGCAUAGAUUCCAAGACAGAAAAGAAGUAAGGGCAAGGCAACUAAGGUUAAAUGACUUGCCCAGGGUAACACAGCUAGGAAGUGUCUAAGGCCAGACAGAUUUGAACCCAGAAUCACCUGUCUAGGCCUGGCAUUCUCUCUACUGAGCCACCUAGCUGCCCUUAUAUCAUAUUAUUGUUUUCUAUUUUAUAGAUUGAUUUUAUUUUUUAAUAACAUUUUAUUUUAAAAAUAUUUUCCCAUGGUUACAUGAUUCAUGUUCUCUCCUUCCCCUCUUCCCUAAUUUCCAAAUAUAAACCACCUCUUUCUUCCUAAAAAGCCAUCCUUUGCAAUCAAGAAUAAAAAAGAAAAUGGUUUAGCAAAAUUGCCCAAUGUAUUAACCAAGUUGAAUAAUGCUAUAUCAAACACACAGCCUAUAGUGUAAGUCCUGCAAAACUCUCAAGUGCUGCCCAAACCAGAUUUAAAUACAUAUGGGAAAUAUUCCACAAAAUAAAUAUAUAAUGUUAAUAUAUGGUUUUCUAAAUCACUAUGUACCCACCGAGAUCUUUACUAUGGCUUAAUGAUUCCUAUAUAUACAUAUAUAUAAUGUAUAAAUUAUAUAUAUAUAUAUAUAAAUAUUUAUAUUUAUUCCUAUUUUUAUUUGAAAAAAAUUUUUUAUUAGAAUAUUUUUUGGGGGCAGCUGGGUAGCUCAGUGGAUUGAGAGCCAGCCCUAGAGACGGGAGGUCCUAGGCUCAAAUCUGAAUUCGGACACUUCCCAACUGUGUGACCCUGAACAAGUCACUUCACUCCCAUUGCCCAGCCCUUACCACUCUUCUGCCGUGGAACCAAUACACAGUAUUGAUUCCAAGACGGAAGGUAAGGGUUUAAAAAAAAAAAAGAAUUUUUUUCCAUCGUUACCUGAUUCAUGAUUCCCCCACCCCCUGCUUUUUCCUCCCCACUCCCAAAGCUGAUCAAUAGUUCCACUGAGUUAUAUAUGUAUCAUUGUUCAAAAUCUAUUUCCAUGUUAUUCAUAUUUGCAGUAGAGUGCUCUUUUAACAUCAAAGCCCCAUCAUAUCCCUAUUGAACUAUGUGAUCGAUCAUGUUUUUUUCUUCUGCAUUUCUUCUCCCACAGUUCUUUCUCUGGAUGUGGAUAGCUUCUUUCUCAUAAUUUUCUCCGGAUUGUCCUGGGACAUUGCAUUGCUGCUAGUAGAAAAAUUUAUUACAUUCAAUUGUGUCAUUAUGUAUCAGUCUCUGUCUAUAAUGUUCUCCUGGUUCUGCUUCUUUCACUCCGCAUCAAUUCAUGGAGGUUCUUCCAGUUCACAUGGAAUUCCUCCAGUUCAUUAUUCCUUUUGGCACAAUAAUAUUCCAUCACCAUCAGAUACCACAAUUUAUUAAGCCAUUCCCUAAUCAAUGGACACCCCCUCAUUUUCCAACUUUUUGCCACCACAAAGAGCGUGGCUAUAAAUAUUCUUGUACAAGUCUUUUUCCUUAUUAUCUCUUUGAGGUACAAACCCAACAGUGCUAUGGCUGGAUCAAAGGGUAGGCAUUCUUUUAAAACCCUUUUUGCAUAGUUCCAAAUUGCCGUCCAGAAUGGUUGGACCAAUUCACAUCUCUACUAGCAGUAUAUUAGUGUUCCAAUUUUGCCACAUCCCUUCCAACAUGUUGUGGAAGAGGCUUGAAGAAAGAGGAUUUGCAGGACAAGCCAGACAUGCAGACCAAGGUGAAGGACCUGUCUGUCAAUCAAGGCAAAGAUUCCAAAUGGAAUGUUCCCAGGAGAGGCAGUUGGGGAGCCUGGCCAGAGGAGAGAAACUGGGACUUUGGGCUCUGGGUUACUGACCAAAGGAGAAACCUCUUCUCUGGGUUCCUGAUCAAAAGAGAAUGGCUUUUCCUGACCUAGGCAGAGAGAGAGAGAGAGAUCUUUUGUUUUGGGAUAGAGUCUGGACUUGAGUUACUCAAGCAGAGAUUAUCUGACUAAAGAAAGAAGAAAAGAAGAAAGAUAUUUGUCCACCAAACUCUCUGAUUGUCCUUGAGUCACUGCUGUGACUGGACUGACAUUUUCCAUAAUCUUCCUAAUUCUCCUUAUCGAUUAGGGAAACCCUAUCCCUUUUACCUCAAUCUUCAUCUUGUUUCCCAAUAAACCUUCUUAC